ACAAUGGAGAGUUUGAUCCUGGCUCAGGAUGAACGCUAGCUACAGGCUUAACACAUGCAAGUCGAGGGGUAACAUGAAGAAAGCUUGCUUUCUUUGAUGACGACCGGCGCACGGGUGAGUAUCGCGUAUCCAACCUGCCCAUAAGUAGGGAAUAGCCUUGCGAAAGUAAGAUUAAUGCCCUAUGGUUUCCAUUAAAGACAUCUGAGAUGGAAUAAAGAUUUAUCGCUUAUGGAUGGGGAUGCGUCUGAUUAGGUAGUAGGCGGGGUAACGGCCCACCUAGCCGACGAUCAGUAGGGGUUCUGAGAGGAAGGUCCCCCACAUUGGAACUGAGACACGGUCCAAACUCCUACGGGAGGCAGCAGUGAGGAAUAUUGGUCAAUGGACGGAAGUCUGAACCAGCCAAGUAGCGUGCAGGAUGACGGCCCUAUGGGUUGUAAACUGCUUUUUUAGGGGAAUAAAGUUAGCCACGUGUGGUUAUUUGCAUGUACCCUACGAAUAAGGACCGGCUAAUUCCGUGCCAGCAGCC
rfam:Prevotella bryantii B14 contig_020, whole genome shotgun sequence.